GACGAACGCUGGCGGCGUGCUUAACACAUGCAAGUCGAACGGAAAGGCCCUGCUUUUGUGGGGUGCUCGAGUGGCGAACGGGUGAGUAACACGUGAGUAACCUGCCCUUGACUUUGGGAUAACUUCAGGAAACUGGGGCUAAUACCGGAUAGGAGCUCCUGCUACAUGGUGGGGGUUGGAAAGUUUCGGCGGUUGGGGAUGGACUCGCGGCUUAUCAGCUUGUUGGUGGGGUAGUGGCUUACCAAGGCUUUGACGGGUCGCCGGCCUGAGAGGGUGACCGGCCACAUUGGGACUGAGAGACGGCCCAGACUCCUACGGGAGGCAGCAGUGGGGAAUAUUGCACAAUGGGCGGAAGCCUGAUGCAGCAACGCCGCGUGCGGGAUGACGGCCUUCGGGUUGUAAACCGCUUUCGCCUGUGACGAAGCGUGAGUGACGGUAAUGGGUAAAGAAGCACCGGCUAACUACGUG
rnacentral:rRNA from 1 species